ensembl:lncRNA
CGUGGGCUCAGUGUUCUGCAUGGGAACAACCCCUAAGGAGUGAUCACAGCUCUCCAAAAAGGGCAGCUGGAGUUGUUUACAUUGCCACUGCCCCCAGCUCUGUUUGUGUGAGAUGCUCAGGAUUAGGGGCUGCCUCUGGUCAUUCUGUAGAGAUAUCGAUCCUCGGGAGCGGUGCAGUGCUGGGAAUAGAGCGAAGCAGGGGGUGGAGAAAUCUCUGCUGCCUGUUUUCUCAUCUCACAACUCCCCGAAGAGACAGAGCCUUCCCCGUCCCGCAUAGCCAGGCAUGACAGAUCAAAACCACUGGAGACAUGCACUGUGCCUUUCAGGAACCAAAUAAUCUCAAUCCUUUGAGAAAACUCAAAGGGCGAAGGCAAAGCAUCGGGCCUGCCGAGAACAAUGGCGGUGCAUCCCCCGACGGACGCGCGGAUCUCCAAUGCUGUGUGGUUAUUAAGAGAAAUAAAACAACAAUAAUUCCUUCCAGUGAGAAUCCCCGGGUCAAUUACUUGUUGCCACGGGGAGAUUUCCCGGGAGUUUUAUUGUUAUUAUCGCUAUUCAGUCAUUAUGUGCAGCAACACAAAGGUGAGUUUUUACGCAAAGGAGCGCAAUGUUGGGAAAAUUGUGAGCAAUGCACAGAUGAGGUGGGAGAGAUCAAAGCCCUGGCAACUCCUGCAGCACCUUGGAGCCACUGCUGGCCAUGCACUGCUUCCUUCAAAGGCCUGAAGGGUUUCUCCUCGCUUUGGAAGGUGAGGUUGCAGGACACAGCCCCACCGCCUCGCCCCCACCUCUCCAGAUGGUGCAG